rnacentral:rRNA from 1 species
UUACACAUUGCAAGUCGAACGGGAUCCAUCAGGCUUUGCUUGGUGGUGAGAGUGGCGAACGGGUGAGUAAUGCGUGACCGACCUGCCCCAUACACCGGAAUAGCUCCUGGAAACGGGUGGUAAUGCCGGAUGCUCCGACUCCUCGCAUGGGGUGUCGGGAAAGAUUUCAUCGGUAUGGGAUGGGGUCGCGUCCUAUCAGGUAGUCGGCGGGGUAACGGCCCACCGAGCCUACGACGGGUAGCCGGCCUGAGAGGGCGACCGGCCACAUUGGGACUGAGAUACGGCCCAGACUCCUACGGGAGGCAGCAGUGGGGAAUAUUGCACAAUGGGCGCAAGCCUGAUGCAGCGACGCCGCGUGCGGGAUGACGGCCUUCGGGUUGUAAACCGCUUUUGAUCGGGAGCAAGCCUUCGGGUGAGUGUACCUUUCGAAUAAGCACCGGCUAACUACGUGCCAGCAGCCGCGGUAAUACGUAGGGUGCAAGCGUUAUCCGGAAUUAUUGGGCGUAAAGGGCUCGUAGGCGGUUCGUCGCGUCCGGUGUGAAAGUCCAUCGCUUAACGGUGGAUCUGCGCCGGGUACGGGCGGGCUGGAGUGCGGUAGGGGAGACUGGAAUUCCCGGUGUAACGGUGGAAUGUGUAGAUAUCGGGAAGAACACCAAUGGCGAAGGCAGGUCUCUGGGCCGUUACUGACGCUGAGGAGCGAAAGCGUGGGGAGCGAACAGGAUUAGAUACCCUGGUAGUCCACGCCGUAAACGGUGGAUGCUGGAUGUGGGGCCCGUUCCACGGGUUCCGUGUCGGAGCUAACGCGUUAAGCAUCCCGCCUGGGGAGUACGGCCGCAAGGCUAAAACUCAAAGAAAUUGACGGGGGCCCGCAAGCGGCGGAGCAUGCGGAUUAAUUCGAUGCAACGCGAAGAACCUUACCUGGGCUUGACAUGUUCCCGACAGCCGUAGAGAU